CCAAUAGCGUAUAUUAAAGUUGUUGCAGUUAAAAAGCUCGUUGUUGAAUCUCGGGAUUGACACAUCGGUCGUGCCCUAAGGGGUAUGAACUGGUGUAGUCAAUUUCUCACCUUCUGGAGAACCGCGAUGCCCUUAAUUGGGUGUCGCGGGGAACCAGGACCUUUACUUUGAAAAAAUUAGAGUGUUUAAAGCAGGCAUUUUGCUUGAAUACAUUAGCAUGGAAUAAUAAAAUAGGACGGCAUGAUUCUAUUUUGUUGGUUUCUAGGAUCACCGUAAUGAUUAAUAGGGAUAGUUGGGGGCAUUAGUAUUCAAUUGUCAGAGGUGAAAUUCUUGGAGUUAUUGAAGACUAACUACUGCGAAAGCAUUUGCCAAGGAUGUUUUCAUUAAUCAAGAACGAAAGUUAGGGGAUCGAAGACGAUCAGAUACCGCCGUAGUCUUAACCAUAAACUAUGCCGACUAGGAAUCAGACGAUGUUAAUUUUUUAAUGACUCGUUUGGCACCUUACG
rnacentral:rRNA from 1 species